rnacentral:rRNA from 1 species
CUAUGCGCCUUGCCAGCCCGCUCAGGUGUGCCAGCCGCGCGGUAAUACGUAGGUGGCAAGCGUUAUCCGGAUUUAUUGGGUGUAAAGGGCGUGUAGGCGGGAAUGCAAGUCAGAUGUGAAAACUAUGGGCUCAACCCAUAGCCUGCAUUUGAAACUGUAUUUCUUGAGUGCUGGAGAGGCAAUCGGAAUUCCGUGUGUAGCGGUGAAAUGCGUAGAUAUACGGAGGAACACCAGUGGCGAAGGCGGAUUGCUGGACAGUAACUGACGCUGAGGCGCGAAAGCGUGGGGGAGCAAACAGG